GACGCACGCUGGCGGCGUGCCUAAUACAUGCAAGUCGAACGCAUUUUCUUUCAACGUCACUUGCUACACCGAAAGAAAGUGAGUGGCGAACGGUUGAGUAACACGUUGGUAACCUGCCCAUCAGCGGUGGAUAACACUUGGUAACAGGUUCUAAUACCGCAUAAUUUCAUUUACCGCAUGGAAGAUGGAUGCAAGGCGCUUUUGCGUCGCUGAUGGAUUGAUCCGCGGUUCAGUAGCUAGGUGGUGGGGUAACGGCCUACCAAGGCUGCGAUGCAUAGCCGACCUGAGAGGGUGAUCGGCCACACUGGGACUGAGACACGGCCCAGACUCCUACGGGAGGCAGCAGUAGGGAAUCUUCGGCAAUGGACGCAAGUCUGACCGAGCAACGCCGCGUGAGUGAAGAAGGUUUUCGGAUUGUAAAACUCUGUUGUUAGAGAAGAACAAGGAUGAGAGUGGAAAGUUCAUCCCUUGACGGUAUCUAACCAGAAAGCCACGGCUAACUACGUG
rnacentral:rRNA from 1 species